rnacentral:rRNA from 1 species
AAUGAACGUUGGCGGCAUGGAUUAGGCAUGCAAGUCGAGCGAGAAGUGUAGCAAUACACGGAAAGCGGCGGAAGGGAGAGUAAUACGUGGGAAUCUGCCCUUAGACCUGGGAUAGCAGCGGGAAACUGCUGGUAAUACCAGAUAAUGUCUAUGGACCAAAGGUGUGAUUCCGUCUAGGGAUGAGCCCACGUCCUAUUAGCUAGUUGGUAGAGUAAUGGCCUACCAAGGCGAUGAUGGGUAGCGGGUGUGAGAGCAUGACCCGCCUCACUGGGACUGAGACACUGCCCAGACACCUACGGGUGGCUGCAGUCGAGAAUCUUCGGCAAUGGGCGCAAGCCUGACCGAGCGAUGCCGCGUGCGGGAUGAAGGCCUUCGGGUUGUAAACCGCUGUCGAGGGGGAGCAACUUCCAUAGAGUUAUCUUUAUGGAUUGAGUGAUCCCUGGAGGAAGGACGGGCUAAGUUCGUGCCAGCAGCCGCGGUAAGAC